rnacentral:rRNA from 1 species
CUACGGGAGGUUGCAGUGAGGAAUAUUGCACAAUGGGGGGAACCCUGAUGCAGCAACGCCGCGUGGAGGAUGACGCAUUUCGGUGUGUAAACUCCUUUUAUAUGUCAAGAAAAUGACGGUAGCAUAUGAAUAAGCACCGGCUAACUCCGUGCCAGCAGCCGCGGUAAUACGGAGGGUGCAAGCGUUACUCGGAAUCACUGGGCGUAAAGGACGCGUAGGCGGGUUGGAAAGUCAGGUGUGAAAUCCUACAGCUUAACUGUAGAACUGCACUUGAAACUUCUAAUCUAGAGUAUGGGAGGGGGAGAUGGAAUUAGUGGUGUAGGGGUAAAAUCCGUAGAUGUCACUAGGAAUACCUAAAGCGAAGGCGAUCUCCUGGAACAUUACUGACGCUAAGGCGUGAAAGCGUGGGGAGCAAACAGGAUUAGAUACCCGAGUAGUC